rnacentral:lncRNA from 1 species
CGUGCGACUCUGUGGUCCUGAGUGCCAGAAGCUGUCUCCAUGGGUUGGUCACAGUGUGCAUCGCACCGUGCUGUACAUGUGCAGAUGUAGCCUGCAGCCAGCCAGUUUUUAUUUAAUGUAAAUAGUUUCUGUUUCCACUGAGGCAGUUUCUGGUACUCCUAUGCAAUAUUACUUAGCUUUUUUAUUGUAAAAAGAGAAUCAACUCAACUGUCAGUACUGAGAAGGGAUUUGGGUGUAGGGGCACCUGGCCUCCG